AUGUGCCUUUCUGUGUCGGCCAUUUUGUAGUUUCCUUGAGAAAUUGUGUUGAGUUGAUUCAUCUUCUCGGUAAGAAUUUUAUAAAAUUCUAAAACGGCGCGACUCACAUUGAUCCAAAUGAUGUAGAGGAUUGAGGGCAGAUGCUUAUGGCUAACUAUUCAUAGCUUGAGAACGAGGAAUAAGGUUGCGUUUUUUGCGCACAACCGUGUGCGCUCACGGUACUUACACCCGAAGAACGAGCCAGUAAACGAAGCUGCCGAGAACACCUAUUGAUAAAGGCACAUGGAAUCCGGGNUUGUUUCGGGAUGAAUGGUGAUUUCGGGUACGUGUACAUGAAUGGGGACAUUGGGAAGCUCCCACCAGGGGCGGUAUAUCCAGCCACCCCUGAACCUUUGGGUUCUGUUGGGGGUGCACUUGGAAAUACUGCAUCCAAUUUGGAAUAUAACAUCAUGAACGGUGUUCCAAGUGGAAAUGAAUUGAUAUUGGAGGCGGGUGUUGGUAAUUUAGAACCUUCACUGCAACAUGCUAUAGGUAUAGGAGGUGCUGCAGGUUAUGGUCCAGUGGAUGUUGCUCCUUUAGGUGAUGUGCCAAAUCAACCUGCUCCAAUGGGUGAUUUGUCUGCCCCUGGUAUACCAUUGGAACAACUUAAACAAAUGCUCUCUUCACAACUUGAAUAUUAUUUCUCCAGAGAAAACUUAGCUAAUGAUACAUAUUUAUUAUCACAAAUGGAUAAUGAUCAAUAUGUACCAAUAUGGACAGUAGCUAAUUUCAACCAAGUAAAAAAAUUAACAAAGGAUAUAAAACUUAUAACGGAGGUUCUUAGAGAAUCUCCAAAUGUACAAGUUGAUGAAGAAGGUCAGAAAGUAAGACCUAAUCAUAAACGAUGCAUUGUAAUUCUUCGUGAAAUACCAGAUAGUACACCAUUGGAAGAUGUAAAAAAUUUAUUCUCUGGAGAAGGAUGUCCAAGGUUUAUUUCAUGUGAAUUUGCCCAUAACAGUUCUUGGUAUGUAACUUUUGAAUCUGAUGAAGAUGCUCAAAAGGCCUAUAGGUUUUUACGUGAAGAAGUUCGGGAAUUUCAGGGAAAACCAAUAAUGGCUAGAAUCAAAGCUAAACCAAUGAAUAGGCUACCAAUCCCGGCAGUUGCUAAUGUGGGUGGAAUUAAAAAUGGUUAUAGAACACCACCGCCACCACCUGUUUAUGAUCCAAAUAGUUAUACAGCUGGUCAGCAACGUUUUCUUUAUACAAAUGGCACUACUAUGCCACAAACUACUAUGCCAGCAUAUGCCAAUCAGGUUCAUGUAUAUCAUCAACCAUUUUAUCCUCCUGGAAUGAUGCCUUGGGGACCUGCAAGUCCUGCUUAUUUUGAUAUGUCAGGUGUUUUCAUGAAUGGUAUUACACCACAUAAUACAUUUAAACCACAGAAUGCAAGAUAUAAUCCUCGUCACAGAAAUAAGCAAAGAAAUGGAUCUGAAAGACCAGGCUUGAUGGAUAGUGGAGGUAACAUGGUGCCAAUGGGACGCACUUCACAUCCACCUAUAAGUGGGGCACCAAUAUCUUUAGGAGCAACAGUUCCGACAUUUACUUCAAGCUUGCCUACGGUGAAACCAACUUCUUCUUCCUACCAAACUGGCACAAAGUUCCAUUCCUCACAUACAAUUGUAGCAACUGGAGAGACUCACUAUAAUAGCAGUCACACAAAAGGAUCCCAAGAAAAUGACACUCAAACUUUAGACUCUGGAGUACAAUUUCCGCGUCAUCGUAUGCAUCGUAGGACCAAAGACCAAGAGUCAUUAUCAAAGGCUAAUAGUAGCCCCUUACCUUCAAUCAGAGAAUCUACCCCGGCCAGUAAUAAUAACACUCAAUGUAAUCGAGGGGUACAAUUCGAUUUGGAAGCUUCUGCUUUCCCUCCUCUUCCUGGCCUAGAUGCUGAUCUUGCAAAAUCCCAUAAUGCUUCAGUAGAAACUGUUGGUACAGAUUGUACGCAAUCGCAGAAUAGGCUUUCAGAUGUAGUUAAAGGUACUGCAAAAUUGAAAAGCAUCAAAGAAAAAGAACCUACAGGAACUUCACAACAAUACCAUCAACAAGCGACAAGUAACAGCAGUAGGUCUGCAAGUCCAGGGUCAAGUGCUGGUGGUCAUGCUGGUUCGCUAGAAGCUCCAACUGGUUCUGGCAGUACAUCAACUACUCCUGUUGCAUCUACAAAUGUCAGCUCUAAUGCUUCUGCUAGCAACAAUGACUCCACAGACAUCGCUCUCAGCACCAUCACUCUCACUCCCCCGUCAUCUCCUGAUAAGUUUAGUCCUUUAUUAUUGAAAUGCACCGCUGACAGAUCUGUAAAGACUGACGAUUCAAACAUGGUGAAUGGAGUGGACGAGGCUGUUUCAAAUGUACACACAGUGGAAGAUUCUGAACAAGUAUCUAGGUGUGAAUGUAAUAUCCCUACUGCCUCACAAAAUUCCCAGUCGCAAGUGGGAGUGACUUCUACUUUUCCUGUUGACCUUACAAGACCGAGUUAUGCUCAAGUAGCACAACACUGUCGCGAACUACCUUGUACAAAACAUAAGACAGAUGAAAGGGAUGGGAAUGUAUAAAUCAAUAUAUACUAUUGCAGUGAAUUUCAAUAUUUAGCUGUUAUUCUUCAUCUGGAUUAUAUGGAUUAUGUACCACUGCUUUUUAUCCUACACUGGAUAUAGUGGGUAUGAAGAAAACUUUUUACAUUGUACAGUGACUUCGCCUACAAUGAAUGUGGUAUCAAUUAACUAUGAAUCAUAAAAAAAUUGUUUGAAGAAACUCUAAUUCGCUGCAUAUUUAAAAAAAAAUACGUUUGCUGGCAGGAUAAUACAUUGUGUAGAAGAGUAUUGUUAUUGCUUUUGUUCUGUGAUUUUGGAGCACAGGGCCGUAACUGGGAAAUGUUUAUCUUUGUGCCAAACCUUGCUAUGUGCGUACAGCUUAAUGAAUGUUCAGAGUGCAACGAAACUUAUUCUCAAACAGAAUUCUGAUUUAAAAAAACGAAAAAAAGAAUGUAAUUUCUAAAACAGAUAAAUCAUAAGGAUACUUAAUUU
rnacentral:misc_RNA from 1 species